UACGGAGGGUGCGAGCGUUAAUCGGAAUUACUGGGCGUAAAGCGCGCGUAGGCGGUUUGGUAAGCUGGAUGUGAAAGCCCUGGGCUCAACCUGGGAACUGCAUCCAGAACUGCCAAGCUAGAGUAUGGUAGAGGGCAGUGGAAUUUCCGGUGUAGCGGUGAAAUGCGUAGAGAUCGGAAGGAACACCAGUGGCGAAGGCGACUGCCUGGGCUAACACUGACGCUCAUGCACGAAAGCGUGGGGAGCAAACAGGAUUAGAUACCCGGGUAGU
rnacentral:rRNA from 1 species